CAUAAAACAGGCGGGUGGAGACUAAUAGAAGGCUGUUUGAAAAAGCAGCACACACUUUGAAGGAAACGUCCCUCCUCUGAACAUCUUCACCUCUCUGCUCCAGAGGACCUGACAAGAAUACUUUCUGCCUAUUCUGAAACACAAAGAUGGCUGUAGCUCUCACUCUCCUUCUUGUUGGCUGUCUGCUCCCAGGUGCCCUGUGUGGACAGUUUGAGAGCAUUAUACCAAAGACUA